rnacentral:rRNA from 1 species
AUUGAACGCUGGCGGCAUGCCUUACACAUGCAAGUCGAACGGCAGCACGGGUGCUUGCACCUGGUGGCGAGUGGCGAACGGGUGAGUAAUACAUCGGAACAUGUCCUGUAGUGGGGGAUAGCCCGGCGAAAGCCGGAUUAAUACCGCAUACGAUCUACGGAUGAAAGCGGGGGACCUUCGGGCCUCGCGCUACAGGGUUGGCCGAUAGCUGAUUAGCUAGUUGGUGGGGUAAAGGCCUACCAAGGCGACGAUCAGUAGCUGGUCUGAGAGGACGACCAGCCACACUGGGACUGAGACACGGCCCAGACUCCUACGGGAGGCAGCAGUGGGGAAUUUUGGACAAUGGGCGAAAGCCUGAUCCAGCAAUGCCGCGUGUGUGAAGAAGGCCUUCGGGUUGUAAAGCACUUUUGUCCGGAAAGAAAUCCUUGGCUCUAAUACAGUCGGGGGAUGACGGUACCGGAAGAAUAAGCACCGGCUAACUACGUG